AGUGUGGUGGCCGAGUGGUUAAGGCGUUGGACUUAAGUUCCAAUGGACAUUAGUCCUCGUGGCUUCAAAUCCCACCCGCACUC
rnacentral:tRNA from 1 species